rnacentral:rRNA from 1 species
GACGUAGGGGGCGAGCGUUGUCCGGAUUUAUUGGGCGUAAAGGGCUCGUAGGCGGUUCGGUAAGUCGGAUGUGAAAACUUAGGGCUCAACCCUGAGACGCCAUCCGAUACUGCUGUGACUUGAGUUCGGUAGAGGAGUGUGGAAUUCCUGGUGUAGCGGUGAAAUGCGCAGAUAUCAGGAGGAACACCGGUGGCGAAGGCGGAUCUCUGGGCCGAUACUGACGCUGAGGAGCGAAAGCGUGGGGAGCGAACAGG